AUGUCUGGAGCCCUUGACAUCUUGCAGAUGUAGGAGGAUGUCCUCAAAUUCCUUGGUGCAGGAACCCACUUAGGUGGCACCAACUUUGACUUUCAGAUGGAACAGUAGAUCUACACAAGGAAGAAUCACGGUAUCUACAUCAUAAAUGUGAAGGGGACCUGGGAUGUUGCUCGCAGCUCAAGCUAUUGUUGCCAUUGAGAACCCUGCUGACAUCAGCAUCAUCUCCUCCAAGAACACUGGCCCUCGAGCUGUGCUGAAGUUUGCUCCUGCCGUAGGAGCCACUACCAUUACCAGCCCCUUCAGACCUGGGACCUUCACUAACCAGAUCCAAGCAGCCUUCAUUCAGGGAGCCACGGCUUCUAGUGAUGACUGAUCCCAGGGCUGACCACCAGCCCCUCACAGAAGCCUCUAAUGUCAACCUGCCCACCAUUGCUCUGUGUAAUACAGAUUAUUCCCUGUGCUAUGUGGACAUUACCAUCCCAUGCAAUAAUAAUAAGGGAGCUCACUCAGUGGGUCUGAUGUGGUGGAUGCUGGCCAGGGAAGUACUCCGCAUGCGAGGUACUAUCUCCUGUGAGCACCAGUGGGAGGUUAUGCCUGAUCUUUUCUUCUACCGAGACCCAGAGGAGAUUGAGAAGGAGGAGCCGGCUGCUGCGGAGAAGGCUGUAUCCAAGGAGGAGUUCCAGGGUGAAUGGACCGCACCAGCUCCUGAGUUCACUGCGGCUCAGCCUGAGGUCGCCGACUGGUCUGAGGGUGUGCAGGUACCCUCUGUGCCCAUCCAGCAGUUCCUGAUGGAAGACUGGAGUAUGCAGCCAGCCACUGAGGACUGGUCAGCAGCUCCCACAGCACCGGCCACCGAGUGGGUUGGAGCCACCACUGAGUGGUCCUGAGCUGCUGUGCAGGCACAUGAGCAGAGGGAAAAAAGGUGGAAGGAAAAUAAAGUUCCUA